UCCCUGAUAGUUCAGUUGGUAAAGAGUCUGCCUGCAAUGCAGAAGACCCUGGUUCGAUUCCCGGGUUGGGAA
rnacentral:tRNA from 1 species